GCGUUGAAAAGCUCGGGGAUGACUUGUGGGUAGCGGUGAAAUUCCAAUCGAGCCCGGAGAUAGCUGGUUCUCCCCGAAAUAGCUUUAGGGCUAGCCUCAAGGUGAGAGAUACGGAGGUAGAGCACUGAAUGUCCUAGGGGGUAUUGCACCUACCGAAGACUAUCAAACUCCGAAUGCCGUCAUCUUAUACUUGGGAGUCAGACUGUGGGUGAUAAGAUUCAUAGUCGAAAGGGCAACAGCCCAGAUCGUCAGCUAAGGUCCCUAAAUGUAAGUUAAGUGGUAAAGGAUGUGGGAUUGCACAGACAACCAGGAUGUUGGCUUAGAAGCAGCCACUCAUUCAAAGAGUGCGUAAUAGCUCACUGGUCGAGUGAUCCUGCGCCGAAGAUUUCCGGGGCUAAAACUUACUACCGAAGCUACGGCAUCAGUAAUGA
rnacentral:rRNA from 1 species